CCUACGGGAGGCAGCAGUGAGGAAUCUUGGUCAAUGGACGAGAGUCUGAACCAGCAAAGUAGCGUGAAGGAUGACUGCCCUAUGGGUUGUAAACUUCUUUUAUAUGGGAAUAAAACGUUCCACGUGUGGGAUUUUGUAUGUACCAUAUGAAUAAGGAUAGGCUCACUCCGUGCCAGCAGCCGCGGUAAUACGGAGGAUCCGAGCGUUAUCCGGAUUUAUUGGGUUUAAAGGGAGCGUAGGGGGAUUGUUAAGUCAGUUGUGAAAGUUUGCGGCUCAACCGUAAAAUUGCAGUUGAAACUGGCAGUCUUGAGUACAGUAGAGGUGGGCGGAAUUCGUGGUGUAGCGGUGAAAUGCUUAGAUAUCACGAAGAACUCCGAUUGCGAAGGCAGUUCACUGGACUGCAACUGACACUGAGGCUCGAAAGUGUGGGUAUCAAACAGGAUUAGAUACCCGAGUAGUC
rnacentral:rRNA from 1 species